UUAAGAUGAAUAAAAUGAAUAAAAAACAUAUGAAGAAAGCUAAUCAAAAAUUGUUUGUUACUGAACGCCGGAGGAGGUUUAAAUCUCUCAACAGACUACUGAAAAUGAAGAUACUUCCCAUAACAAUUUUAUGUGUGAAGAUGGGCGACACCUUUUCCCGCUAUUUCCUGUGCCUGACUGGAAGACCAGUAUCUGCAGUUUCUCAAACCCAGGAAACAUCACACUGUGCAUCUGCUCCAGCGCCGAUGGCCAGGUGUGCUGAGGACCUUAGCUGGUGAGGCUGCUGGAAGGCUGCAUGUUCCUGUGCAGAAGAGCUCAGCUUGAGCAGAAUGUGGAUACAAAGCCUGCAAUGGGAAAUGACUCAGCAUCAGCAGAACUCAGCUUGGAAGGCAUCCUUCACCUCGGCCCACCGGCUUCUUUUUGUCUGAACCAAAAUAUUUCUGGAAUUGCUGGUGGUCUGAAUUAUGCCAAUAGCUCAGGAGAGAUAGAGGAUGGGCCAAGAAUAUUAAAGCGGUUGUGAGGAGGACUUGGUCAGUAGCUCAGGAGAAAUAGGGAGUGGGUCAGAGAUAUUGACAUGGCUGUGAGAAGGACUUGGAAUACGGCUUUACUUUCGAAGGGCUAAGAGAACUAGUGACUACAACCUUGGUGGCUUAAAAUAAUAGAAAUUUGUUCUUUCAUGAUCCUGGAGGCCAAAAUCUGAAAUCAAGGUGUUUGCCAGGCCAUGCUCUCUCCAGGGGACCCAGGUGAGACACCCCCUGCCUCUUCCAGUUUCUGGUAACUAAUUUUGUAGCUAGGUCAUGCCCAUCUUGUUCCUGCCUUGACAUGGCUCCUCCUCUUUUUUCCCUCUAUUGAUGGUAUCAAAUUGUUUUCUGCUUAAAAAAACAUUAUUAAUAAAGAUAUUUGUCACUAGA